UGGUUGUCAUGUGAUCUGGGUUCCACUUUCCCACCCGUUGAUACUGAGGUAAAUACGGCUGCUGGUUGUCAUGUGAUCUGGGUUCCACUUUCCCACCCGUUGAUACUGAGGUAAAUACGGCUGCUGGUUGUCAUGUGAUCUGGGUUCCACUUUCCCACCCGUUGAUACUGAGGUAAAUACGGCUGCUGGUUGUCAUGUGAUCUGGGUUCCACUUUCCCACCCGUUGAUACUGAGGUAAAUACGGCUGCUGGUUGUCAUGUGAUCUGGGUUCCACUUUCCCACCCGUUGAUACUGAGGUAAAUACGGCUGCUGGUUGUCAUGUGAUCUGGGUUCCACUUUCCCACCCGUUGAUACUGAGGUAAAUACGGCUGCUGGUUGUCAUGUGAUCUGGGUUCCACUUUCCCACCCGUUGAUACUGAGGUAAAUACGGCUGCUGGUUGUCAUGUGAUCUGGGUUCCACUUUCCCACCCGUUGAUACUGAGGUAAAUACGGCUGCUGGUUGUCAUGUGAUCUGGGUUCCACUUUCCCACCCGUUGAUACUGAGGUAAAUACGGCUGCUGGUUGUCAUGUGAUCUGGGUUCCACUUUCCCACCCGUUGAUACUGAGGUAAAUACGGCUGCUGGUUGUCAUGUGAUCUGGGUUCCACUUUCCCACCCGUUGAUACUGAGGUAAA